rnacentral:tRNA from 1 species
UGGAGCGAUGACCGAGAGGCCGAAGGUGCGUCCCUGCUAAGGACGUGUACCCGUAAGGGUACCGAGGGUUCAAAUCCCUCUUGCUCCGA